GGUUCAGCAGUGUAUCGGUUGAACUCUCUGCGCGAACUGCGCUCGAUGUUGAAAAUGUUUCGUUUCAACUGUUCGAGGGGCGACAGCUGUGCACCCGAAGGAGUAAGAGAGACGGAUGUGAAGAGAGAGUCCUGCGAGAGCGAACGAGUCGCAGAAGGAGCGAGCGAGAUAUAAAUAUAUCGAAUAACUUUCACCUCCUUAAACAUAAACUUUUGUUCAAUUUAUGAAAUCUUUUAAGUUACUUUAUGCUUUAUAGUUAUUCAUAAUUGUUAUAUUAUAAUGAAUCUUCUCACAUGCGGCAUUUCUGCGCAAGUGCUUGAAGAGAGACAACAUGGGAGAGAGCGGCAAGAACAAGAGAAAUGGCAAACAAACAAAAGCCACAGCCACAGCUGUCUUAUCACAGGGCGGUUUUUUGCCACCCCCUUUCGAAUGAUAGCAAAGGCAACCGUUACUUAUGGGUUGUGUCUUCGAUAAGUAUGCUAUAAGAAUUCAAUUCUUCUAUUUUUAUACAUAUCUCCGACAAAAUUAUUGAAACUAUUUCUUAAUAAUUCAAUACAAAUAUGCACCUAUGUACAAAUGUAUAUUUAUCGUUCUGUAAAUCAAUAUCUGCUUUAAUUAGCUGUAAGAGUAUCAAGAAUACAUUUAUAAUCAUAAACUUCCAAAUACAAAAAUAGUAGUCUUUAAAAACGGGGAAUGCAUAGUUUAUUAGGUAGCCAUUUAUUUUACAAUUCUUUUAAGAUUAAGACCCAAACUUUCUAACAUGGUAUAAAUAAAUAAUCUGUCACUUUUUAUUCCAUUAAUCAAUUACACAUAUGAAUUACAUUUUCAUAUAGCUUGGAUACUAAAUAACCCAUCAGGUCCAUCCUAUAUGUAUAUUCUCUCAUUCCUCAAGCACAUAUUUCACUUUCCAGUUAGAUUAAAAGGCCUUCACGUUACUCGAUUUGUGUCCCUGUCCUGAAAGGAUUCCCCGUGGACGCAAUGGAGGGGAAUCUGCUUAAGCAUACCUUACACUCGCUUCGAUUAAAUAUUCUUAGGAGCUAAACUUAAUACGGGUUGCGUUCAA